GAAAUGCGAUAAGUAAUGUGAAUUGCAGAAUUCAGUGAAUCAUCGAAUCUUUGAACGCAUCUUGCGCUCCUUGGUAUUCCUUGGAGCAUGCCUGUUUGAGUAUCAUGAAAUCUUCAAAGUAAAUCUUUUGUUAACUCAAUUGGUUUCUACUUUGGUAUUGGAGGUCUUUGCAGCUUCACACCUGCUCCUCUUUGUUCAUUAGCUGGAUCUCAGUGUUAUGCUUGGUUCCACUCGGCGUGAUAAGUUAUCUAUCGCUGAGGACACUGUAAAAGGUGGCCAAGGUAAAUGCAGAUGAACCGCUUCUAAUAGUCCAUUGACUUGGACAAUACUUUUAUGAUCUGAUCUCAAAUCAGGUAAGACUACCCGCUGAACUUAAGC
rnacentral:misc_RNA from 1 species